AAUGAUAUGCCUGAUUAAAGGAUUAUUUUGAUAGAAUAAAUUAUAUAGUGAGUAACUAUUUUCAUUG
rnacentral:tRNA from 2 species